GACAGAGGUGCCGAGCGUUAGGCGGAAUCACUGGGCUUAAAGCGUGUGUAGGCGGACCGUUAAGUACCUUGUGAAAUCCCACGGCUCAACCGUGGAACGGCUGGGUAUACUGGCGGUCUUGAGCGGCCUAGGGGCAGAUGGAACAAGUGGUGGAGCGGUGAAAUGCGUAGAUAUCACUUGGAACGCCAAAGGUGAAGACAGUCUGCUGGGGGCCUGCUGACGCUGAGACACGAAAGCCAGGGGAGCGAACGGG
rnacentral:rRNA from 1 species